CACGNGUGCUAUACAUGCAGUCGUAACAAGGUACCCGAUANAUGCUUGACUCCAUUGUAAAGAGGAGUGGCGGACGGGUGAGUAAACGGCCGGUAAACUACCCAUCGAGGGGGAUAACACCUGGAAACAGGUGCUAUUCCGGCUUAAGAGUUUAUGCCGCAUGCCGUAAUACUGAAAGGCGCUUUCUUUUGUAACUGAUGGAUGGACCCCCGGUGCAUUACCUAGUUGGUGAGGUAACGGCUCACCUGGGCCACCAUGCAUAUCCGAGCUGAGAGGGUGAUCCGCCACCCCGGGACUGACACACGUUCCCAACUCCUACCGCAGGCAACUGUACGGAAUCUUCGGCGAUGGACAAAAGUCUGACCGAGCUACGUCGCGGGAUUGAACAAAGUUUUCGGAUCGUAAAACUCUGUUGAUCGAGAAGAACCUGGACGUUUGUAACUGAACGUCCCCUGACGGUAUCUAACCGGAAAGCCGCUGCUAACUACUUGCCAGGGUCCUCGGUAAUACUUAAGUGGAAACCGUUGUCCCGAUUUAUUGGGCGUACCCCGAGCACUCGCUUUUUCUUAAAUCUUAUGUGAAAACCCCCCGCUCAGACGGGUAGGGUCAUUGGAAACUGGGAUACUUGAGUGCAAAACACCAAAGUGUAAUUCCAUGUGUUUAGGUGAAAUGCUAACAUAUAUGGAGGAACACCUUUGGCCACCGCGGUUCUCUGGUCUGUAACUGAUACUGAGGCUCGAAACCGUGUCGACCAUACAGGAUCUCAUACUCUGGUAGUCCUUGCCGCAUACGAUGAGUGCUACGUGUUGGACGUUUUGCAGUCAUUCUUCGCUGCUGCAAUGAUCUAGCACGCUGACUGGGGGAGUACUACACUAGNUGAAACUAACACGCAUUGACGGUGUUCCGCCAAAAAGUCGGAGCAGCGUUGCAUUUAAGAUUACCGAGA
rnacentral:rRNA from 1 species